UACGGAGGGGGGCUAGCGUUGUUCGGAAUUACUGGGCGUAAAGCGCGCGUAGGCGGACCUGCAAGUCGGGGGUGAAAGCCCGAGGCUCAACCUCGGAACUGCCUUCGAUACUGCGGGUCUCGAGUCCGGGAGAGGUGAGUGGAAUUCCUAGUGUAGAGGUGAAAUUCGUAGAUAUUUAGGAAGAACACCAGUGGCGAAGGCGGCUCACUGGCCCGAUACUGACGCUGAGGCACGAAAGCGUGGGGAGCAAACAGG
rnacentral:rRNA from 1 species